rnacentral:rRNA from 1 species
GAUGAACGCUGGCGGCGUGCCUAAUACAUGCAAGUCGAGCGAACGGACGAGAAGCUUGCUUCUCUGAUGUUAGCGGCGGACGGGUGAGUAACACGUGGAUAACCUACCUAUAAGACUGGGAUAACUUCGGGAAACCGCAGCUAAUACCGGAUAAUAUUUUGAACCGCAUGGUUCAAAAGUGAAUGACGGUCUUGCUGUCACUUAUAGAUGGAUCCGCGCUGCAUUAGCUAGUUGGUAAGGUAACGGCUUACCAAGGCAACGAUGCGUAGCCGACCUGAGAGGAUGAUCAGCCACACUGGAACUGAGACACGGUCCAGACUCCUACGGGAGGCAGCAGUAGGGAAUCUUGGGCAAUGGGCGCAAGCCUGAUGGAGCAACGCCGCGUGAGUGAUGAAGGUCUUCGGAUCGUAAAACUCUGUUAUUAGGGAAGAACAGAUGUAUAAGUAACUGUGGAUGUCUUGACGGUACCUAAUCAGAAAGCAACGGCUAACUACGUG